GGCACAUGUUGCUAAGUAUGUUUAUUCAGCAAGUGUUGAUUGGCUGAAUAUUAGGAGCUAAAGUGUCUUAGGUGCUAGAGUUAUAAAAAUGAGUAAAGUAAGCAAUAUUCCUGCCCUCAGUGGGCCUACUCUAGACAGACCAAUAGUUACCCCUCCAAGUGCCAGCUGCUGUGGGAUAAUUCACAGAGCAACCCUUCCGAGGGCAGUGGGGUUGGGCCUGCAUCCAGCAAAUGCAAACAGAUGAUCCCUGGAUAAAAAAGGGAAAGCCUCUUCCAUGCCUCAGGAAGGAAGGCCAGGAGGACGCGUUUGCAUGCAGUGAUAUGUGUCGGUCUGACAGCAGUAAGCAGUGGUGUUCCUGGGUGAUGGCUUCUGGCUUUGAAUAGGCAGGCAUGGAGUUGCAGGGGUGUGUGGAUUAGUGAGGAAGUGCUUUCACUCAGAUGCCGCCUGACUAGACGGCCAGUAGGUAUUCAAUCUUGGUCUCGCUCUUCUUUCCCGUCCUGGUUUUAUGUUGCACUUUCCAGUUUCUCCAAAACAGAUCUUGCAUAUUUGAUAAUUAAUUCAGGGUGACAUGUGGGGAGAUGUUAGCUCCUCUCCUUUUCUAGACGACCUCUGCAAUGAAACGUCCGCUUUAGGCUAACAGAACUCUAACCCAAAGAAGAUUUGGGAGGAGAUCUUCGACCUUGACUGGGUGGGGGUGUGUAUUCUCAGAGACCAGUCGCUCUCGUUUGUGUGUGCCUCCCAGGGGUGUUCAUAGUUAAAUCUGUAUUUGGGCCUAAACCUAAUCUAUCUAAUGGAAAUUAAAUAAGCCAAAUUUUGGAAGGUGGCCUGAACUAUAUAACAGUGUGGAAAGGGAAAUUCUUGGAAUGCUAAGUGUACCAGUGUCAGAUUAAAAUAUCCCGUGGCAACUGUAACUUGUCAGGUCAGAGUAAUAGUGGUAAACAUUCUCAAAAUAGAUAUAGCCAAAAUGUGCAGAUGAGUCAUUAAAAAUAGUUCUUUUACAUUUAGAUUGUGUAAUUUUCUAAGGCAUAUUUUGGUUAGAGAAUUUUUUGUUAAUGUGGACUAAUAAUACUUGGGAAACAAAAUAAAUUGUGCUACUGUUACUUGAAGUACAUGCUAAUAUUUUGCAAGAAGCAUACUUUUUUGUUGUUUUUAAUCAUCUCAUUAAGACAUAAUGAUCUUUUUCCAGCUGAGGUGCCUAAUUACUGUCAUAUCCAAUAGUCUGUUAAUUGGUGAGAAUAAAGCAAAAAGCCACCAUGGACACAUCUCGACUCUAUUCUCAUUGCGUAGAAAUGGAACAGAUACAGAGUACGUGUUAAUUACAUUUGCAGCGCAUUGCCUGUAGUCUUUACUGAGCUCAGUUGCUUUUCUUUUUGUGCAAACAAUAGCAAAACCUUCUCAAACAUCUAUAUGGCUCUUUUUAUGCUAUAUCUCCUUUGAUGUUUUGAAUACAGUCUUGAGAUUUCAUUGAUCACAGUUCACAAAUCUAAAAUCGAUGAAUUGUAUUUGUAGAUUCAAAACUUGGUUUUCAAAGCUCAGAUGCAGGUCUUCUCCCAACAAGCUUUAGUGUCUAACCUUCCCUUCAUGUGCAUUUGUUUGGUGCAGACAAGAUUUCCCCUUCUGCUAUUAAACCAGAGGUCAUCCUUAAAAAUGUUCUUGGGUUUGAAAAUUUAUGUAUGUAUUUGACCUUUAUAUCUGUGAUAUAUAAAUACAAAUUUAAGGGCAUGAUUUAAAUAUAUUCAGGGUUCUAGAGAUUUUUAAAUUUUAUGCACACAUUAAGUAUGUGUAAAUUAACAUAUAUAAACCAUUUUAUAAGGACCAUUAAAAAA
rnacentral:lncRNA from 1 species